GGGGAUUUAGCUCAGAGGCAUAAGCACCUGCCUUGCAAGCAGGCAGUUGUAAGUUCCAUCCCCG
rnacentral:tRNA from 1 species